AGCAGCCGCGGUAAUUCCAGCUCCAAUAGCGUAUAUUAAAGUUGCUGCAGUUAAAAAGCUCGUAGUUGAAUUUCGGGAUCAAUAUGUUGGUCGUGCCUCGGUACGUACUAGCUUAUUGGUUUCUCCCUUCUGACGAACCAUGAUGUCAUUUAUUUGGUGUUAUGGGAAAUCAGGACUGUUACUUUGAAAAAUUAGAGUGUUUAAAGCAGGCUCACGCUUGAAUACAUUAGCAUGGAAUAAUGAAAUAGGACGUUUGAUUCUAUUUUGUUGGUUUCUAGGAUCGACGUAAUGAUUAAUAGGGAUAGUUGGGGGCAUUAGUAUUCAAUUGUCAGAGGUGAAAUUCUUGGAUUUAUUGAAGACUAACUACUGCGAAAGCAUUUGCCAAGGAUGUUUUCAUUAAUCAAGAACGAAAGUUAGGGGAUCGAAGACGAUCAGAUACCGUCGUAGUCUUAACCAUAAACUAUAGC
rnacentral:rRNA from 1 species